AUACAUAUGUGAAUAACA
rnacentral:snRNA from 1 species